UACAGAGGGGGGCAAGCGUUAUUCGGAAUUAUUGGGCGUAAAGGGCGCGUAGGCGGCUUUUCAAGUGACGGGUGAAAUCCCCUCGGCUUAACUGAGGAACUGCCUUCCAGACUGCUUUGCUUGAGUCCGGGAGAGGUGAGUGGAAUUCCCAGUGUAGCGGUGAAAUGCGUAGAUAUUGGGAGGAACACCAGUGGCGAAGGCGGCUCACUGGACCGGAACUGACGCUGAGGCGCGAAAAGCGUGGGGAGCAAACGGG
rnacentral:rRNA from 1 species